UACGGAGGGUGCAAGCGUUAUCCGGAUUUAUUGGGUUUAAAGGGUGCGCAGGCGGGAUGUUAAGUCGGUGGUGAAAUUUUGCAGCUCAACUGUAAAAGUGCCUUCGAUACUGGCUUUCUUGAGUGUGGAUGGAGUAGGCGGAAUUUGUGGUGUAGCGGUGAAAUGCAUAGAUAUCACGAGGAACUCCGAUUGCGCAGGCAGCUUACUAAACUACUACUGACACUCAGGCACGAAGGCGUGGGGAUCAAACAGGAUUAGAUA
rnacentral:rRNA from 1 species